rnacentral:rRNA from 1 species
AGUGAACGCUGGCGGUAGGCCUAACACAUGCAAGUCGAACGGCAGCACCGUAAGAGCUUGCUCUUACGGGUGGCGAGUGGCGGACGGGUGAGGAAUACAUCGGAAUCUACUUUUUCGUGGGGGAUAACGUAGGGAAACUUACGCUAAUACUGCAUACGACCUACGGGUGAAAGCCGGGGAUCUUCGGACCUUGCGCGAUUGAAUGAGCCGAUGUCGGAUUAGCUAGUUGGCGGGGUAAAGGCCCACCAAGGCGACGAUCCGUAGCUGGUCUGAGAGGAUGAUCAGCCACACUGGAACUGAGACACGGUCCAGACUCCUACGGGAGGCAGCAGUGGGGAAUAUCGAACAAUGGGCGCAAGCCUGAGCCAGCCAUGCCGCGUGGGUGAAGAAGGCCUGCGCGUUGUAAAGCCCUUUUGUUGGGAAAGAAAAGCAGCAGGUUAAUACCCCGCUGUUCUGACGGUACCCAAAGAAUAAGCACCGGCGAACUCCGU